rnacentral:rRNA from 1 species
ACGGGUACGGAGUAAGUAAUAGUAGGAAGUACUGCCCUUGAGAGGGGGACAACAGAGGGAAACUUCUGCUAAUACCCCAUAUGAGCGUACCUGAAAUGGUAUUCUUGAAAACUCCGGUGCUCAAGGAUGAGCCUGCAUCUGAUUAGCUUGUUGGCGGUGUAAUGGACCACCAAGGCGACGAUCAGUAGCUGGUUUGAGAGGAUGAUCAGCCACAAUGGGACUGAGACACGGCCCAUACUCCUACGGGAGGCAGCAGUAGGGAAUUUUGCGCAAUGGGCGAAAGCCUGAACCGCAGCAAUGCCGCGUGAACGUAGAAGCCCUUCGGGGUGUAAAGUUCUGUCAGUGGGGACGAAUUUUGACGGUACCCACAGAGGAAGCACCGGCUAACUCCGUGCCAGCCGCUGC